GAUGAACGCUGGCUACAGGCUUAACACAUGCAAGUCGAGGGGAAACGACGGGGAAGCUUGCUUCCCCGGGCGUCGACCGGCGCACGGGUGAGUAACGCGUAUCCAACCUGCCUCUGACUGAGGGAUAACCCGUCGAAAGUCGGCCUAAUACCUCAUGGCAUCGUCUGCGGGCAUCCAACGACGAUUAAAGAUUUCAUCGGUCAGAGAUGGGGAUGCGUCUGAUUAGCUUGUUGGCGGGGUAACGGCCCACCAAGGCGACGAUCAGUAGGGGUUCUGAGAGGAAGGUCCCCCACAUUGGAACUGAGACACGGUCCAAACUCCUACGGGAGGCAGCAGUGAGGAAUGUUGGUCAAUGGGCGAGAGCCUGAACCAGCCAAGUAGCGUGCAGGAUGACGGCCCUAUGGGUUGUAAACUGCUUUUAUGCGGGGAUAAAGUGAGGGACGUGUCCUUCAUUGCAGGUACCGCAUGAAUAAGGACCGGCUAAUUCCGUG
rnacentral:rRNA from 1 species